CCUACGGGAGGCUGCAGUGAGGAAUAUUGGUCAAUGGACGAGAGGCUGAACCAACCAAGCAGCGUGAAGGAUGACUGCCCUAUGGGUUGUAAACUUCUUUUAUAUGGGAAUAAAAUGUGCCACGUGUGGGAUUUUGUAUGUACCAUAUGAAUAAGGAUCGGCUAACUCCGUGCCAGCAGCCGCGGUAAUACGGAGGAUCCGAGCGUUAUCCGGAUUUAUUGGGUUUAAAGGGAGCGUAGGUGGAUUGUUAAGUCAGUUGCGAAAGUUUGCGGCUCAACCGUAAAAUUGCAGUUGAUACUGGCAGUCUUGAGUACAGUAGAGGUGGGCGGAAUUCCUGGUGUAGCGGUGAAAUGCGUAGAUAUCAGGAGGAACACCGGUGGCGAAGGCGGCCUGCUGGACUGCAACUGACGUUGAGGCCCGAAAGCGUGGGGAGCAAACAGGAUUAGAUACCCUGGUAGUC
rnacentral:rRNA from 1 species